rnacentral:rRNA from 1 species
GUUAUUAAAAACAUGGCUUGUUGAUUAUGAUUUCAGGUCUGGUCUGCCCACUGAGUUGUUAAAUGGCCGCGGUAUAUUGACCGUGCAAAGGUAGCAUAGUCAUUAGUUUCUUAAUUGGGAGCUUGUAUGAAGGAUUUAAUGAGAAAGUGACUGUCUCUAUUAAAAUUUAUUAGAAUUUUAUUUUUAAGUGAGAAAGCUUAAAUUUUUAUAAAAGACGAGAAGACCCUAUAGAGUUUUAUGAUGAUAAUAAAUUAAGGAUUUAGGGAUUUUAUAUUGAAUUUAUUUUUGUUGAUUUUAUUGGGGUGAUAAGAAAAUUGGUGUAACUUUUCUCUAUUUUUAUAUUUAUUUAUAGGUUAAUGAUCCUAAUUUAGUAGAUUACAAGAAUAAACUACCUUAGGGAUAACAGCGUUAUUUUUUUUAGAGUUCUUAUUGAAAAAAUUGAUUGCGACCUCGAUGUUGGAUUAAAAUUAAUUAUUGGUGAAGAAGCUGAUAGGUUAGGUCUGUUCGACCUUUAAAAUUUUACAUGAUCUGAGUUUAAACCGGCGUGAG